rnacentral:rRNA from 1 species
GUUCGUCACAUCCUGGGGCUGGAGAAGGUCCCAAGGGUUAGGCUGUUCGCCUAUUAAAGUGGCACGUGAACUGGGUUCAGAACGUCGCAAGACAGUUCGGUCCCUAUCUGUAGUGGGCGUCAGGAAAUUGAGAGGAUAUGACCUUAGUACGAGAGGACCGGGUCGUACGGACCUAUGGUGUACCAGUUGUACCGCCAGGUGCAGUGCUGGGUAGCUAUGUCCGGUCAGGAUAAGCGCUGAAAGCAUCUAAGCGCGAAACCUUCCUCAAGAUGAGUUUCCUUUUAAGGGCCGUCGAAGACUACGACGUUGAUAGGCUGCAGGUGUAAAGGUGGUAACAUCAAAGCCGAGCAGUACUAAUUGCCCGUACGCUUUAAUCUUUUU